rnacentral:rRNA from 1 species
GGCGGACGGGUGAGUAACGCGUGGGCAACCUGCCUCAUACAGGGGGAUAACAGUUAGAAAUGACUGCUAAUACCGCAUAAGACCGCGGUACCGCAUGGUACAGCGGUAAAAACUCCGGUGGUAUGAGAUGGGCCCGCGUCUGAUUAGCUAGUUGGCGGGGUAACGGCCCACCAAGGCGACGAUCAGUAGCCGACCUGAGAGGGUGACCGGCCACAUUGGGACUGAGACACGGCCCAAACUCCUACGGGAGGCAGCAGUGGGGAAUAUUGCACAAUGGGGGAAACCCUGAUGCAGCGACGCCGCGUGAGCGAUGAAGUAUUUCGGUAUGUAAAGCUCUAUCAGCAGGGAAGAAGAUGACGGUACCUGACUAAGAAGCCCCGGCUAACUACGUGCCAGCAGCCGCGGUAAUACGUAGGGGGCAAGCGUUAUCCGGAUUUACUGGGUGUAAAGGGAGCGUAGACGGCGGUGCAAGCCAGAUGUGAAAGCCCGGGGCUCAACCCCGGGACUGCAUUUGGAACUGUAUGGCUGGAGUGUCGGAGAGGCAGGCGGAAUUCCUAGUGU